AUGGGACCGCGAGGGGCGAACACGGCGCACCCGCGCACGACGUUGGAAGACUUCAUUGUUGCGCCCGCAUGGUAUCCCUUCCCUUCCACCGUGGCAUACCGCCGCUACGAGGCCGAGUGGCUCGCCGGCUCUUUCCGGCCCAGCGCGUCCGGCGUUCCCCACAUGCAUCGCAUGUGGCAGAUCAACGAGCGUUGUCGCCUCACCAUCUACCGCAGCUGCGACGAGGUCGAGCCCGGGGUGCUCGCCCUCCUCAGCAACCUCUACCAGAAGCCUUCCAUCGCUGCCGGGGUCCUGCUGCCCCCUCCGGACAUCGGCGUUGCUAACCGCGGUGUCCGCCCGGAUAUGUUUCGCUGGCUGGACGACCAUCCCCCAAAGUCCGUCAUCUACGUCGCGCUCGGAAGUGAGGCACCGGUGACUCUAAAGAACCUGCACGAGCUCGCGCUCGGGCUUGAGCUCGCCGGCGUGCGCUUCCUCUGGGCUCUCCGGUCGCCCGGCGCCCCAUCCGACUCCGGCACCGGCGUGGACGACCACGGAGUGCUGCCCGACGGGUUCGAGGAAAGGACGCGUGGCCGCAGCAUGGUCGAGACUGGGUGGGUGCCGCAGGUGAAGGCGCUCGCCCACGGCGCGGUGGCCGCGUUCCUGACGCACUGCGGUUGGGGCUCCACCGUGGAGAGCUUCGCGUUUGGGCACCCGCUGGUGAUGCUCCCGUUCGUCUUAGACCAGCCGCUCGUCGCGCGGACCAUGACGGAGAAGGGCGUCGGCGUGGAGGUGGCGAGGGACGAGGGCGACGGCUCGUUCGACAGGGACGGCGUCGCCGCGGCGGUGCGGCGCGUCAUGGUGGACGACGAGGGGAAGGUGCUCGCGAGCAACGCCAAGAAGCUGCACGAGGUUCUCGCCGAUCAGGAGCGGCAGGAAUGGUACAUCGACGACGUUGUCAAGCACCUGAGAUGUUACAAAGAUGCAUAG
rnacentral:rRNA from 1 species